rnacentral:lncRNA from 1 species
UUUAGCCACCGUUUGGUUGCGGGGUUAAGGGGUGGAAUAACCCCUUAACCUCCAAUUUAUAUCCAAACAUCAUUCUUUUGGAAUGGGAUUAGUAAACCCAUCCCAAAUCAGAUUAGUGGGGUUUACUAACCCCACUUCCCCUCCCAACUUUAAUCCCGCACGUAUCCCGAGCUCUCACUUUUUUCUUCUUUAUCAAUCAUUAACCCCACUCCCCCUCCCAACUUUAACCCCGCACGCAUUCCGAGCUCUCACAUUUUUCUUUUUUAUCAAUUAUUAUCUUUUUAUCCCACCUAUUCCAACCAAACAUUUUUUUUCAUUAUCCUAGACUAACUCCAACCUCCAACCAAACAUAAAAAAAUUUUAACACCAUUUUAAUCCUAAACUUAACCCUAUUCCUGGAAUAACUAUUUUUUCUUAAUCCCGAACCAAACGGGGGCUUACGUUGCUGGACCAGCAACUUUAACUCCACAAUCCAAUCAAACUAGAACCAAAAAAAA